rnacentral:tRNA from 1 species
ACCUGACUGGCUCAGUUGGUAGAGCAUCUGACUUGAUCUCAGGAUCAUGAGUUCAAGCCCCACGUUGGGUA